AUGAUAAACCCUGUUCCAGAGCACCCGCUACGAGCUUCAUGUAUGUUGUUGAUUCAUAAGACAUUCACUUGGGAGCAGGGUGAAGAAUCCAAUGAAGCUGAAGCUAGGCCUAAAUUUAGACUUGUAGUUCCUAAUAGCUCUUGCGGUGGAAUUAUUGGUAAAGAAGGAGCAACAAUCAAGUCAUUCAUUGAAGCUUCAGCGACCCAUAAAACCCGGGAAGUGAAGCCCUCUUCAAUCCUCUACCUCUCUCGCUGUUGUGUCCAGCCUGCUGCCUGCCUGCUGUGUUGCCUCAAAGAAGGGUCGGGGGCACUUGAUGUGGAGGAUGGCGACAAGGAGAAGUGA
rnacentral:rRNA from 1 species